rnacentral:rRNA from 2 species
UAACACAUGCAAGUCGAGCGGUAGAGAGAAGCUUGCUUCUCUUGAGAGCGGCGGACGGGUGAGUAAUGCCUAGGAAUCUGCCUGGUAGUGGGGGAUAACGUUCGGAAACGGACGCUAAUACCGCAUACGUCCUACGGGAGAAAGCAGGGGACCUUCGGGCCUUGCGCUAUCAGAUGAGCCUAGGUCGGAUUAGCUAGUUGGUGAGGUAAUGGCUCACCAAGGCGACGAUCCGUAACUGGUCUGAGAGGAUGAUCAGUCACACUGGAACUGAGACACGGUCCAGACUCCUACGGGAGGCAGCAGUGGGGAAUAUUGGACAAUGGGCGAAAGCCUGAUCCAGCCAUGCCGCGUGUGUGAAGAAGGUCUUCGGAUUGUAAAGCACUUUAAGUUGGGAGGAAGGGUUGUAGAUUAAUACUCUGCAAUUUUGACGUUACCGACAGAAUAAGCACCGGCUAACUCUGUGCCAGCAGCCGCGGUAAUACAGAGGGUGCAAGCGUUAAUCGGAAUUACUGGGCGUAAAGCGCGCGUAGGUGGUUUGUUAAGUUGGAUGUGAAAUCCCCGGGCUCAACCUGGGAACUGCAUUCAAAACUGACUGACUAGAGUAUGGUAGAGGGUGGUGGAAUUUCCUGUGUAGCGGUGAAAUGCGUAGAUAUAGGAAGGAACACCAGUGGCGAAGGCGACCACCUGGACUAAUACUGACA